AUGUUAGCUUCAGCUCCACUGCUGCUGCUGGCUCUCGCCCCCUAUGUGUUCUGUGCUACUGAGCUCAUCCAGCCAGACUCACUGCUUAUAAAGCCAGGAGAGACUUUAACCAUCACCUGUAAAGUGUCUGGAGCUUCUAUCACUGAUAGCAGCAGCCACUAUGGAACAGCUUGGAUUCGACAACCUGCAGGAAAAGCUUUAGAAUGGAUCAACACCAUUUAUUAUAAUGGCAGUGUUAAUAAGAAAGAUUCACUUAAAGACAAGUUUGUGGUUUCUUGAGACACUUCCAGUAACACUGUGACCUUACGGGGACAGAACAUGCAGACUGAAGACACAGCUGUGUAUUACUGCGCU